rnacentral:piRNA from 1 species
UGCUAGAAGUGAGGACAUUCUAUAUUAGU